UUCAUAGGCUUCAAGGAAACCGAUCUUUGCCUUGUCGGGGAGAUCAUGGGAAUGAACAAAUGGCACCUCGUUUGGCCACCCAAUCUCCAUUCUUAUAUUGGCACAGGGGCUAUCAAGUGUCUGAAUGUGAUUCUCACACUUCUUCAGGUUGCAGAACCUCAGCUUGAUUCCCUUCUUGUCUGCAAUGUCUUGAACCCUUUCCUGGACUCUCUGGGCCUCGACCCACAAUCUCUUGGAAGGUGGCAGAGGUUUGGUUCUUUCACUCUUUCUCCUCCUCAACAAAGGCUUCAUAGAUCCUGUACCAGCAUUUCAUCGAUCCAAGGACCUGCUGUUAAAAGCUUCUCACAUAAGAGAUACACAUAAACACGUGCAAUCCAAUAUCAAGAGGACUCAAGAGACGGAUAUAAUUUUUAGAAGAUAAAACUAGAUUGAGGAUCCUUGUUACGACAGCAGAAAUGCGAAAACUAUUAAGUAGUUGAUGAUUACUAUCAAUAGAGUUGGACUUAAUUUAGCUUAUACAUUGAACUUAUUUUUGGUGUGUGCAUGUGCUUCAGUCAGUAAGACCAAUCCUAAUUAAAGUAAGCUGUCAUUAAAAAAAUUGCAUUCAUGAAAUCAAUUUACAGUAUGUAACAAGCAGGCAAUUGGUAAAGAAGAUUAAAUGCAGCAUACCAUCUUGUGCUGCAUGGAAAUUGGAACUUUGGAAAACUGUGUCUGUUAAAGAGUUGAUUGGUGGGGUGAGAUCUCUGCAUAAAGUCAUCAACCGCUACUGGAAGCUGGAACUGAGCUUCAACCCCAUGACCAGCAGCUCUCAUCUCUGAACAACUAAGAUUGGUCAUGGAUUUAGGCAUGAAUUUAAAAAGCCACAAGAAAUCGCCCAAACAAGUUGCUCUGUGUAUUAGCAGUCUCCAUUCUCUGCAGUGCAGGGUUAACAUAUCCUGCAGUUGCCUGAUAGAGUGUGAGUCCAGGGUAAACAAUAGCUUCUUGAGGACCAAGAUCUUCGUCCACAAGAACCCAACGACCCUGAAAGUCCUUUAUGUGUAGACCAGCCUUGCCUGACUUGACAAGAGAUAUCAAGCUUUUGUCAACUUGAUGCUCAUGGUCAGAAAACAUAACCAACUGGCCAUCCUCUUGGGUCGUAAAACUAUGGUGUUGUGUAACCUGAAAUGAUGGCCUUGCAUGACAACAGACAGAUAAUACUGAAGAAGAUAUUUACCUGUUUCUUAAGGGAACAUUAUCAAGUACGUCAGUAAAUGGUGAGCUCCUCAAGUUCAAAUAGAAGCUGAUAGCGUGCAAUAUAUCUCGAGCUGCCAUUGCAAGCAGUGAAAAUAUAUCUGGUAAAGCUGCUGGAGGAAAUUCCAUUGUGUUGUCGGGCUCUAAAGGAGUGAAUCCAGGUCUGUAAUCAUAGGUUUCUAGCCACAAUUGAGGAUCUGCAUUAUAAUCGGAAGUCUUGCACCAGUCACGGGGAUCAUUGUUAUUAACCAUAUCUGCAGCUGGGUAUGAUGCUUUCUGGUGGAAGUAGAGGCGAGCCGAAUCUAAACCCGACCUCAAAAGAGCCCCAUCACUCACUGGAAAACUGAAUGAUGGCAGCAGAAUAGAGUGCUAGUGAUUGUGACAAAGUCGAAACAGAUAGUUUGUAAGAAUCUGAUGGAAGGCCUUCACCAGGUGCCAGAUCAGUUAGCUUCACACGACCUAGAGAUGGCAGGCCAUUACUUGCCAUGAAACCCUUUGGGUAUACUUGCUACCUAAUUUUGAAGAGAGGCACAGGUUACACUGACAAACUCAAAAUUAAAAACUGAAACAGCAUAAUCAUUCAUCAAUCAGAAUCUCUCUCUUUUUUUCUUAUGAGAAUUUAGGAACUCCUUGACCCCUAAGUUGAAGCCACAAAACUGAACCAUCUACGUACUGCAAGAAGAAAGUAUAUGAAGCAUAAAUAUAUACGUACAAAUACAUGUGUGUACAUUAUGAACAUUUUAUAUUGAAAAAGUGCUCUCCUAAGGUCCUUAAAAAGUCAAGCUGCUCAACUAUUGAUCGUCUAUGUACGCUAGAAAUGCAAGAUCUAUGAUACGUUGCAUGCCGAGGGGACAUUUGACCUAUGUAUAGAUAAAGUUAGAAGCUAAGUUUUUCCAAUUACUAGUAUGAGCAACAACAACAACAACAACAACAACAACAAAGCCUUUCCCACUAAGUGGGUCGGCUAUAUGAAUCCUUAGACGCCAUUGCGCUCGGUUUUGUGUCAUGUCCUCGUUAGAUCCAAGUACUCUAAGUCUUUUCUUAGGUCUCUCAAAGUUUUCCUAGGUCUUCCUCUACCCCUUCGACCCUGAACCUGUCCCGUAGUCUCUCCUACUUACUCGGAUAUCCUCAUUCCCAAUUAUCCUUUCUCGUUGCCACACAUCACGAAGCAUCCUCAUUCCGCCACACCCAUUUUGUGUACGUGUUGAUGCUUCACGCCCAACAUCUGUGCCAAUACAACAUCGGCCUUAUUGCCUCCUAAAUUUUCCUUGACUUCAGUGCCUACGACGGUCACACACAGCCGGGAUGCACUCUACACUUCAUCAUCCAGCUUGUAUUCUAUGGUUGAGAUCUCAUCUAAUUCUCUCGUUCUCUUUGCACGAUAGUCCUAGUAGCGAAACACGCUUUUUGGUGAUCUUCGCUAGAUUGCUCCGGUCAUUAGUGGGUAAGUAUAUAAAUGGAUAGAGACAAGAAAGCAAACACAAGAUGUACGUGGUUCACCCAGAUGGCUACGUCAGAAAUAGAGGGAUUCUCAUUAAUUGUGAAGGUUUACCAAGUACAUAGGUUCAAGCUCUCCUUUAGUGAGUACAAGUGAAUGAUUAGUACAAAUGACAUUGGGAAAUAUUGUGGGAGAAUGAUCUCGUAAUCACGAACUCUAAGUAUCGGAACGUAUCGUCUUGAUUGCCUUAUCUGUCUCAUAGGUAAUGUGGCAUCUUCUCUGGAGUACUCUUCUCCAUCCAGGGUUGUAUCUUAACUAGUGGAGAUGACAAGGUAAUGUAUCAAUUUCACUUGAAGCUUACUUGUAGUUUCAGGUUGGUCAGCGCGAUACAAACCAUGUAGUGGAGUCCCCAAGUCGCCGAGCUAGAGGAUCUGCUAAAAGAGGUGACAGACAAGGUAAGCAAUCAGAGCUCGGCUGAUUGUUCACUUCUCCCUAUCUUGCAGGCAGCAUGAAGGAUAAAGAGAAGAAAUGAGAAGAGAUUGAUAUGGGUACUUUGCUUUUGAAGAAGUAACUUCCAACAGGCUUAUUCUUGAACUGAGCUGGAGGGUUUUCUGUUUCCUCCGAGUAUAAGGCCGACUGAAGGAUUUGAGGGUCAAACAAGUCCAUCAAAUCUAGAGUACGUUCGACCCCUGAUAUGGGAUACUUUGCUUUGACAGAGUAUGGAAUGAUGGCACGUGUUGCUGUUCGCUUGUCUCCACAUGCUUCCUUGUAUCCUUCUCCCUUGCCCUAGCUGUUCCUCAGGCACGAUUGCGGUAUCUUCCUGGAAGCAUAAGAUGUUGAAGAUGUACUCGAGGCAAUGGGUAAGUAAUAGGUAAGGGGUUCUAGGCAGUCAGUUCCUGGCUGGAAGUUUGAUUCCAAGUGCUGACUGAUUGCUCUCUUCUCCUUGUUUGCAAUAAGAACAAGGCAAAGGAAAAGACAGGGAAAAAGCAUGAUAUGGGAUACUCUUGCUUUUUAACCCUGAUGAUAUGAAUAUCUUGCUCUAGUAUAGCUUGUUUGCAGAGAUAUUAUCGCGGGGAAAGAAGCUGAUAUUCGAAAGGCGUUGGGUGCCCCAUAUGAGGAGGGUUGAGCAUUUUUGCAGGUCUGCCUGUCGUUGGGGAUGGAGGUCGACAUAUAUAGAGUCUCCUUAAAACAAGUAAUAAUGCUAUUCCGUUUCCUACUUGGUCAUAGCCAGGGGGGCUCCAGCGUUCACAUGUUUUAAUUGUCAGAGCACUUUGAAAGUGGUUUGUGGUAUUGGAAAGGUGAUGUUGCAUGUGAAGUUACAGACAGCUUUAUCCCCAAGGAGUCGGCUCUUGAAGUUGGGAAAGUUUGCCUCUUGUUUUCGAACAAGCAACUCCUUGGGGUCUGGCUCCGAGAUUCGGAGACGAUGCCUCUUCGAUUUGAGAAAGCAAUCAUGCUGGGGGGCUCUCGAGAUUCGGAGAACGAUGCCUCUUCGAUUUUUGAGAGAUGCCUAUUGUGGGUUUAUCCAAAGGCAUUUAUUCCUUCGUCUUCUAGGCUGUACGCGUAAUGAGCUCCAAUGUCAACCUGUGCCUCCUUCUAGGGUUCUGUCCAGUACUAAGGUCGAAUGAUCCCUCCGGUGCCUCUCUUUCUGGGCUCACGACUGCUGAGAUUCUAAGCAACCUUUGUGAGGCUCCCUCUUGUUUGUUUGUUAAUAACAUUUGUAAUCGGGGAUAUCUUUUCCUUCAUUUCACGUAUUGUUUAAUUACACAACCUUCUUCGCUAGUUCUUUGAAUUUUCUUUGUUGAAGCUUUGUGAGUGGGCAUUAGGUUUGAGUAUGUUCCUUAAUUUCCUGAGUGAGGAAAACUUCUCGGUUGGAGACUGGAAAAUCCAAGUCAUUGAGUGGGAUCGGCUAUAUGAAUUCUGAACGCUUGUGCUCGGUCUUGUGUUAUGUCCUCGUUAGAUCCAGUACUUAAGUCUUUUCUUAGUCUCUUCCAAGUUUUCUAGUCUUCCUACCCCUUCGGCUGAACUCUAUCCUAGUCGCAUCUUCAAUCGAAGUCAGUAGGCCUUCUUUGCACAUGUCCAAACCCGUAAAACCGAUUUUCUCUCAUCUUUCCUUCAAUUGCGGCUACUCCUACUUUACAUGGAUAUCCUCAUUCAUAAAUCUUAUCCUUUCUCGUGUGCCCACACAUCCAACGAAGCAUCCUCAUCUCCGCUACCCAUUUUGUGUAGUGUUGAUGCUUUACGCCCAAAUUCUGUGUCAUACAGCAUCGCCGGCCUUAUUGCCUCUAUAAAAAUUUUCCCUUGAGCUUCGUGGCAUAUAGGCGUCACACAGCAGCCGGAUCAAUCUUCCAUUCAUCCAUCCACUUGUAUCUAGGUUGAGAUUUCCAUCUAUUCUCCGUUCUUUGCAAUAGAUCCUAGUAACGAAAACGGUCGCUCUUGGUAUUUCUUGAUCUCGAUCCUCACCCCUAAUUUUGGCUCCAUUGCACUGAACUUGCACCUCAUUUUCUGUCUUUGAUCGGCUUAGGCGAAGAUUUAGAUUCCAAACUCCUCUCCAAAGGUAAGUUUGCAUUACCCUUCCUGAGUUCAUCUAUCAACACUAUUCGUCUGCGAAGCAUACACCAAGAAUAUCAUCUUGAAUAUGUCCUGUUAACUCAUCAAUUACAACGCAAAAANUAUAUGGGCUCAAGCAGGCGCCCCGUGCAUGGUCCAAUGUUUUUCCACUCAUUUGGAAGAUUUGGGUUUCCCCUCUACGCGGUCAUCGUUUUUACCUAAUUCAUGGCUCAACUCGUAUUUAUCUCUUAAUUUAUGUUGAUGAUAUUUUGGGUCCGGGAAUAAUCUCUUAUAUUGUCACCUCAUUAAGAUUUUGGGCCUCCGUUUCUCUAUAAGGACCUUGGACGGUUCAUUAUUUCUUAGAUGGAGGUGGUCCGCACUCCAUCAGGUCUCUCUCUUUCCCAACAGAAGUAUGCACUGACCUCCUUACCGCACCAAAUGCGGUGCCGGGUUCCUACUCUGCCGUUAGUGGGCGACGGCUCAGUCUUCGGAUGGUGACUCUGCCGGAUCCUACUGAAACCGAAGUGUUGUCGGCGCCCUUCAUUACUUGACUCUUCACUCGCCCCGAAUCAACUUCGCCGUCAACCAAGUCUGCCAAUCUUCACCAGCCGACUUCUACUCAUUGGGCCGCGUCAGCAUUCUUUCGUUACCUUGUCGGCACUACUUCUCACGGUCUUAUCUACAAGCUGGUUCUUUUGUCUUACGGCAUUUCCGAUGCCGAUUAUGCCGGGAUCCUGAUGAUCGGCGUUCCACCGGGGGGCUAUUGCUGUACUGGGUUCCAAUCUUGUCUCAUGGAGUGCCAAGAAACAAAAUGGGGUCUCUCCGGUCCAGCACUGAGCCGAGUAUCGUCAAUUGCAAUCACCGCUGCCCUCUUUCAUGGUUUCGUAUGCUGUUCGUGACCUCCAGUUUCCUCUCCAUUGUCCUUACCACUGUUCGUGUGACAAUAUCAGUGCUAAUUCCUUUGCUUUCCAACCGGUGUUUUGCCCGCACUCGGCAUGUUGAGGUAGAUUCCAUUUAUGUUCGUGAAAGGUUGUCGCAAGGAGCUUUGAUGUUCAGUUAUCUUUCUAUCAUGAUCAGAUUGCUGACAUCUUCACCAAGGGCCUUUCUCUUCCUCGUUUUCGACUUCUGGUUUCCAAGCUUCCUGUACUUGAUUGUACUGUCAGCUUGCGGGGGUAAAGGAUGAUACAUUCCUGAUCUCUUGGGAUUGUUUCCUGUUUAUCAUGAUUUCCAGAUUUCCCUGUUUUAUUAAAACAUUCCCUUUAUGUAUUCUUUGUAGAUUAAUUAUACUUGUAAAUCAAGUCAUUGUACACUAUUUAAAUCAAUGAUAAUGCACCCUCUAUAGUAUCGAGGGAUUGAGCCAAAAUACCUUCUUUUACUUUUGCUGUCUUGUCUGCAAUUCCUCCUUUGAGUUAUCUUUUAGUUAGUAUCAACAAGGACAAGAAUUCCAGGGAUGGUGACCGUGCGUAGACCUGAUGAAUCAGUGGUGUGUCUCGGUUGGCUACCCAUACGAACUUUUUUACUUGAUCGCUAGAAUGGGACUUACAAUUACAAUUAACCGAGUGUUGACUGGCCAGCCUGUCCAGGUUCAGAUAGACUUAACUCCAUAUCAUGAGUAGCUGUCCAACCAGGUUCAUAGGCUUCAAGGAAACCGAUCUUUGCCUUGUCGGGGAGAUCAUGGGAAUGAACAAAUGGCACCUCGUUUGGCCACCCAAUCUCCAUUCUUAUAUUGGCAAAGGGGCUAUCAAGUGUCUGAAUGUGAUUCUCACACUCCUUCAGGUUGCAGAACCUCAGCUUGAUUCCCUUCUUGUCUGCAAUGUCUUGAACCCUUUCCAUCAGGACUCUCUGGACCUCGACCCACAAUCUCUUGGAAGGUGGCAGAGGUUUGGUUCUUUCACCCUUUCUCCUCCUCAACAAAGGCUUCAUAGAUCCUGUUCCAGCAUUUCAUCGAUCCAAGGAACCUAAUGUUAAAAAGCUUCUCACAUAAGAGAUACACAUAAACACGUGCAAUCCAAUAUCAAGAGGACUCAAGAGACGGAUAUAAUUUUUAGAAGAUAAAACUAGAUUGAAGAUCCUUGUUAUGACAGCAGAAAUGCGAAAACUAUUAAGUAGUUGAUGAUUACUAUCAAUAGAGUUGGACUUAAUUUAGCUUAUACAUUGAACUUAUUUUUAGUGUGUGCAUGUGCUUCAGUCAGUAAGACCAAUCCUAAUUAAAGUAAGCUGUCAUUAAAAAAAUUGCAUUCAUGAAAUCAAUUUACAGUAUGUAACAAGCAGGCAAUUGGUAAAGAAGAUUAAAUGCAGCAUACCAUCUUGUGCUGCAUGGAAAUUGGAACUUUGGAAACCGUGUCUGUUAAAGAGUUGAUUGGUGGGGUGAGAUCUCUGCAUAAAGUCAUCAACCGCUACUGGAAGCUGGAACUGAGCUUCAACCCCAUGACCAGCAGCUCUCAUCUCUGAACAACUAAGAUUGGUCAUGGAUUUAGGCAUGAAUUUAAAAGCCAAAGAACAUCGCCCAAACAAGUUGCUCUGUGUAUUAGCAGUCUCCGUUCUCUGCAGUGCAGGGUUAACAUAUCCUGCAGUUGCCUGAUAGAGUGCGAGUCCAGGGUAAACAAUAGCUUCUUGAGGACCAGUCACGAGGGUCAUUGUUAUUAACCAUAUCUGCAGCUGGGUAUGAUGCUUUCUGGUGGAAGUAGAAGCGAGCCGAAUCUAAACCCAACCUCAAAAGAGCCCCAUCACUCACUGGAAAACUGAAUGAUGGCAGCAGAAUAGAGUGCUAGUGAUUGUGACAAAGUUGAAACGGAUAGUUUGUAAGAUUCUGAUGGAAGGCCUUCAGCAGGUGCCAGAUCAGUUAGCUUCACACGACCUAGAGAUGGCAGGCCAUUACUUGCCAUGAAACCCUUUGGGUAUACUUGCUACCUGAUUUUGAAGAGAGGCACAGGUUACCACUGACAUAACUCAAAAUUAAUAAACUGAAAACAGCAUAAUCAUUCAUCAAUCAGAAUCUCCUCUUUUUUUUCUUAUGAGAAUUUAGGAACUCCUUGACCCUUAAGCCGAAGCCACAAAAACUGAACCAUCUACGUACUGCAAAGAAAGAAAGUAUAUGAAGCAUAAAUAUAUACAUACAAAUACAUGUGUGUACAUAUAUGAACAUUUUAUAUUGAAAAAGUGCUCUCCUAAGGUCCUUAAAAAAGUCAAGCUGCUCAACUAUUGAUCGUAUAUGUACGCUAGAAAUGCAAGAUCUAUGAUACGUUGCAUGCCGAGGGGACAUUUGACCUAUGUACAGAUAAAGUUAGAAACUAAGGGCCUGUUUGGUAUCCUAUUUGAAAAUUUUUAUCAUUUCUCAAAACAUUUUUUAAGAACAUUUCUUGAAAAUAGUUUUUUUGAAGACUCAAAAACUUGAUUGGUUUCUAAUUUAAAAUUUUUAAAUCUUACAACUUAAACUAUAACAAAGAGAUCUAAAAAGAGGAGGACGCAAGAGAGGUAGAAAGAGGAGAGAGGAGGAAAGAAAGUAAGAGAUGAUUUAAGGAAAAAGAAAGAAAAGAGAGAAUUGGACGAGAUAAAGAGGAAGAUGAGUGAGAAAAAAAACCUAAAGAAUAAAGAAAGCGAAUUGGAGAAGAGACGAAAAAGAUAAAAAAAAAAAAAGGAUAAAGAAAGAAGAAAAGAGAGAGAUUUAGAGUGAGAGUAGAGGAGGAAGAGAAAAGAAAGAAGUGAGUUUAAGUUUAAAAACUCUAAAAACUCACUUUUUAGUUUUUAGAUAAUAUAUUAUAUUUUUUAGUUAGUCUUAAUUUCAGUUUUUUAAAAUAGUCCUACCAAACAAGUUUUUAAGGUCUAAAACUUGAAAAUUGUUUUUGAGUUUAAAAAGUUGGAUUCAAGUACACUACCAAACAGGCCCUAAGUUUUUCCAAUUACUAGUAUGAGCAACGAACACAAAAAAAUUUCUUAUUAAACUUCGAUCUAAUAAUCUCUUUAGUCAGGAAAUUGAAGUGAUAUCCAAAAUCUGCCACAAUGUCAUCUAAACUCAACACAAAAAAAUAAAAUUGCUGAACAGUUCUGCAAGAUGAAGACUAAAUGCUACAGCAUCGACCGGAAACACUCUUCCAAACACAAAACCAGCCUUGCAACCAUAUUUCUUUCAAGUAUAUUGUCCAAACGGGGUAGUCUUUGCUCAUACAGAAGAUUGAAAAAUCCUUAAACACACUCGAUGCAGCAACGAACGAUUACUGUCUCCAUUAAGAUUUAUCCAACUGUUAAAAUGUUGAGUUUGUUUCAAAAAUUGUAUUACUUUUCUCCCCAAUUUUCAAACAAGAGCCCAUAAGACCAAUUGGCAACAAUUUGCAAUCCAGAUUUAGCGUCAUUAAUUGUUACCCAUCAACUAAUUCAAUCCAAAACGUGGAAAAAAAAAACUGGAACAAUUUGUUUCCUUUACUUGAUCUAAUAAAUAUAGAAAUGGUUCAAGAACACGGGAAAUUCCCAAUUCUCAAAACAAACAGAGAGAGAGAGAGAGAGAGAGAGAGAGAGAGAACUGACCUUCAUUGGUAGAAAAUGUUGCAGACGCCAACCAACCCAGAAGAAAGUUAAAUUCACGGGAAGAUUAGGGCUUUACAAAAGGGAGAGAGGAGAGGAACACACAACACAGUGCCUUUUUUCAAUUUUUUUUAACAGUUACACUUUCAUGGUGGAUUUUACUUGCGGCAACCAAAACUUGGUGAUGAGAUGAAAAUUUUGGAUUUGGCAGUGACCGAACACAGAAGUUGUCGAAAGCCAUAUCACCUACGCCAUAAAUUUUUCGUUCUGACCGGAAUGGGUGGUACAUCGUUUGUUUAUAUAUAAAUUGUAAGAAAUUUUAUUUUUUAAGUUAUUAAUUUUUUAAUAUAUAUAUCUCAUUAUUUAUAUAAUGAUACGAAUUGUAUCAUUUCAUAUGCUAGUCAUAUUGAAAUAUUUCUUCUACUUGGAUAUGUCUUUCCGCUUCUCAAAUUGGAGAAAUUUAUGUAAGAAGUAGCUAAUGUUAUUCACACGUUUAUUUUUAUCUUUCAAAUACCUUUGUUAAUAUUUGGCCUUGAUUUUCUCCAAUUUACUCCAUCCGAGCAGCGAAUAUUGAAAGAACAUAUGAGAAGUAAAAAUAAGUAUGUAGAUAGCAUAACCCUCUUUUUUAUAUACAAUUGUUAUUUUUUUAAUUUGUUUUGGAGAAUUCAACAAAACCGUCAUAAAACUUAUUUUCAUAGCACUUUUGUUGUUUUGUAAAAAUUUUCAGAAUUCAUUUAAAACGUUUCGAAAAUGUUCCCAUUGAUGAAAAUUUGUUCUAGCCACAUACUAAAAUCUGUUAGAAUUUUUCUCCAUUGAUUUUUUUUUUUUGCCUUAAAAAUGAACAAUGUUUGGCCACUCAAGAAUGAAAAUGCCUCAGAAACAGUUCGUAAUACUUUCAUCAAUUCCUACCAUAUGUUUUUAUAUAGCUCAAUGACUAAACAAUAUAAUUUUUUUUUUUGCUGAAAAAUCAUCUUUACGAAUCGAUUUAUAAUAUGAUAUUUCCGAUCAUAUUCACAAACUUUUGUGAAUUGGCCUAAAGAGUGUAGCUAUGUGACAAUGACUUAUAUAACAUUGCCUCCCGAUUGAAGAAGUUAUAGGAAAAUCAAGAGACAAAAUAAAGACGAAAAUGUGUACGAAAAUUAUUUCCAAAAUUUUAUCGAGCCUCGACUAGUGAAAUAGUGACUUCAUUAGCUGAGCAUGUUUUAGAAGAAUGACCGGCUUCGAGUUCACUCAUAUCCCUUUCACUGUAAAAACCAGGUUUUAGAGGUGGGGGCAAUGCACCUUCACUACCCAACAUUAGAAUUGCGGCUGACAUGCUCGGCCUGUCUUCUGGAUUCCUCUGCACACACAAAAGACCCACAUGAAUCGUUCUCACAACUUCAUGCAGAGUGAUGGAGUCCUCUAUCGAUGCAUCAAGCAGUUCGAGAGGCCUGCCUUCUGUGUGUAGCAUCCAUGCCUAAAACACGAAAACUAGUGUACUUAGCAGAAGUAGUAAAGUCGAGCGAUAAGAAUUUUUAACUUGACAUUUGAUGUUGUUACACUCACAUGUCCAAGAAGGUUGAGUUUGUGGUCUGGAUGAGAGAAUCCUCUAUUUCUACUCCACUCACUAUCUCUAGCACCAGAACACCAAAACUAUAGACGUCGGACUUUAUAGAGUAAAAACCAUCAAUUGCAUAUUCUGGGGACAUGUAACCGCUGCAGACCAAUGUGUCAAAAAACAUUUUUAUACGCAAAGAAUCUAGACUUUCUAGUUUCUAUUAGUGUUUUUAAAAAUUCAUUAAAAAAGAGCUGUACAAUUGUGUUUUAGGAUACUUACUACGUUCCGACCACUUUCUUCGUUUCAAUUCCUCCAAAGCUUCUAGCCAGGCCAAAGUCUGAGAUUUCGGGUUAAAUUCACUGCCUAAUAAAAUGUUACUUGCUUUGAGAUCUCUAUGAAUAACUCUCAAUCUAGAAUCUUGAUGAAGAUAGAGGAGCCCUCGAGCUAUCCCAUUAAUAAUUUCAAAGCGCUUCGCCCAGUCUAAUAAUAUCCUUCUUGUUUGAUCUGCAAAAUAUCAUAAUUCACAAUUGUCAAAAAAUACAUCGUGCUAGGUUGCUAGCAUAAGUGGACUAAUUGAACUAAAUGCAAGGUUUUGGAGUGGUCAAACCAAAAAUAAAGAAGUCUAAGCUCUUGUUAGGCAUGAACUUGUAGAUCAGUAUCAUCUCAUCUUCUUGAAUGCAGCAUCCAAGAAGCUUCACUAGAUUCCUGUGCUGAAGUUUGGCAAUAUGUGUAACUUCAUUCUUGAACUCGUUGAGUCCUUGUCUAGAAUUUUUUGAAAGCCUUUUCACUGCGAUUUCUUGUCCAUCUUGCAUCGUACCCUAAAAUCCAUCAACGUAUGUUAUGACCAAAAUUCAUAUUUUGUAGUUUGCACACUACUUGUAUCCAUCAUUCCAUAUUCUGACCAGAAUUACAUGUAUCUAUACAACUUCGAAACUAUGAAGGACUAUCUAGUUUUACCUUAAAGACAGAUCCGAAACCGCCUUCACCAAGUUUGUUUUCAUUUGAAAAGUUAUUGGUUGCAGAAACUAUAGUCAUCAAGUCAAAUAACGGUAAUUCCAGAUCCUCAUUUUGGUUGCGUCCCAGUUUUCCUACAAAGACGCAGUGACAAGUGAAAAAAAUUCCCUAUACAACUGAACUAUGUAGUUUGGAAAGAAGAGGGGCACAAUAGUACAACCAACUUACCACCUUUUUGGUGCUGCUUCUUCCAAACAUAAAACAACAGAGAAAGGCCCAGGAUCAGCAAUCCGAUAGACAACACAAUAGUGCUUAUUAUGAUUCUCAUUUUCUUUUCAUUGGAUUCAGAGUAUUUAGCGUUGAUCUUUGUAUCGUCUUCAUGAUCUACAAAUGAUAUUUAUGAAAACAGAAAAUCUAUGAGUCGGAGAGUAAAAAACAAAUAAAUAAAAACUGUAUAAUGUCUAUCAUCCAACUAAUAGUUUCUAGUUUGUGAGACAAUUCUAAUAGAGGAUAUUGCUAAUUGUGUCAACAUUCAAAGUUAAAACUGUUAGAAUUAGUACAAUGUUUCACUUCGUUAUGUCUUGACUUUGUUUCGAGCAUAUGAUUAUGACUAAAUGCAUAGUCACCAAAAGGUGUUUUUUACGUACUUUGUUCUGCUGCGGCCAUUCUUAUAUAAAUAUCUUGCCCGUUUUCAGCAGUGUAUCUUAUAUCAAUUAGAUCACCGUACCACAGCAAGCACCCAGUUCCUCCAUCCCGGAUAUCCAAAUUUGUAUAAGCCGUGCAGGAGCAGUUCUUCAUGCACACCAUCUCACAUUCCUUGAGGUUCAUACUUUUGUUAUGCCAUGAUUGUUCUGUGCUAGGCAAUUUCACCCCCGAGUACUUUUGGAACAUGUCUCCGGUGCAAUUUAGAGAAGUCUUUCUCACACAGCCAUGAGACCAAUCCACCAAAUCCCAUUCUUUCGGGAACUUUGGUGUAAAUCCUUUCAAACAGCUACAAACCGGGGACUCUUCAAUGUUACAUGCACCAUGUACACCACACAAUGCAUAGUUUACACAGUCAUCAAUUUUGGCUGAUUGGUAAAGAACCCAACCUCUGGUUCUAUCAAUCCAUGUGUAGCGCUGCACAAGUCCAUCUGAAGUUAACACCACCCUCGAAAAGAUUGAGUUGUUGUGAAGCUUGUAACUGUAGUACAUUUCAUCAGGCUCAGAAACAAAACUGUAUGUGAAUAUAGGGUUUGGAUUGAACUGAGGGCUUCCACUGAACCCGACUCCAUUCCAUGGUCCAGACCGAUAUUUAAUGACCGAACCUUCCCUCACAAAUAAUUCUGCAUAUCCCUUGGGACCAAGUUGAGAUGUACGAUUUCCUUGAGAAGGAUCCUGAGGACUUUUCCACGAUCUAAGAUGCCAAUUGAAGCCUGUAACUGUGUUCCUACCAAUCUUCAUACCUGGUAAGAAUGUAUCGCCAGGGUAAUCAAAACCUUGCCACAGAAAGUUCUCAGAGUCGUCAUCACUCCUAUCUAUCACGACAAGAUUACCCGAAUCCAAAAGACGUGCCACUGGAUUCUGUGCAGUUCUCGAUGUGUUGGAGGACCAAAUUGUGCUCAUGUUGUGGUUGAGGACAAGAAUUCCGGGGUUGGUGACCUUCAAAACGCCGGACAUAUCAGCGAGGGGCUUGUCUCUGUUGGCAACCCACACAAUGGUUGUAACAGAUAUCUGUUUACCAUAUCGCCACGUACCGUCUAUUAGAAGCAUCAGGAUAGUAAAAUCCUAGCUCAAACGUACCGCCAGUUGAAACUACAGUCUCACCGUCUCUAAUGGACUGAAAUGUACUCGUGGCGUCAUCAGCUGUGGAGAUUACGGCUGCGACCAUGAGCAGCAAAGAAGAGUAGAAAAGAAGCAAGCACAUCUUAGCUAAAGCAUUUGACGGAUUUUUCAUAAACUUCAUGGGAAAGCACUGAAUAUUGUCUGUCAUUUGAACACCUUAUUGAAAUAACGUUGAUACCUUUUCCUGCAAGCAACCAAUCAUUUUCAAGUUCAAUAUUGUUGAAUAGUCGGGUGCGUGAGAAAGUUGUCUUCAAUCCGAAGUAGACUUCGCAUUCGGUUAAGAAUGAUGUUGUCGUAGCCGGAUAUUUCACUAUGACAACUAAGAUUGUUCAUCUAGUAGAAAAUAUCCGAAUUAAUAUGUGGUCAUAUCCAGUUCCCUCGGCUCAAAGGAAACUUAAAUGUCUGAUUGGUGUACUCUCUCGCAUUAGUCUUGUAUUCGAUAUCGUUUUCUUUCCUUUUCAAUUCUUGUAAUUCAAGAUUAAUCCCACGUUAGAAAGUAUCAAUAAGAGCGUCUUCGGUGGGCGAUAAUAUUCCCUGUAACUGGUUGUAUAUCUCAUUGUGUCUAUCUCCCUAAUCACGUUAAGUUUUUCAUUUUCAAAGUCAAUCUGUUACACAUGUAAUGGAUCAAUUUGGUACCCUGUCAUUUUCUUUAGUUUAUACUAAAAAUUAUUGGCCGCACGUUGUUGCAGGAUUAAAAAUUGUAAAAAGCAUUAUAUUUGAAAGAUAUAAAAGAUUGUGUCAAGAAGAUUAAUACAACUCAUUGCUAUAUUUAAUUGAUACUCCACAUAAAAAUCGUAGAAGUUUUGGCUAUCUAUGUACAUAAAAUAUUAGAUCAACACAUUCCACUUAGGUAGUUUUUGUGAUUUUCGAUUGACAGCAGUACUUAAAUACGAAAGAUUACGAAACUUUGGGUUAUUUACAUGAAAAAAAUGUUAAGAAAUACUGUCAUUUACAUUGAUAAAAUAUGACAAAAAUUGUUCAAUGGAAUACCAAAAGAUCACUCCACUACUCUUGAUUGUCAAGAAAUUAGUUUAAACCAAUCCAAAGAUCAAAACUCUUUCAAAAUUCCAUGUGUAUUCAGUUUCUCUAAAUCAACCAACUUCUCCAUUCCAAACCAUCUAACAAAUAUUUGGCAGCAAUACAGCCAUCAACAAACAUUUUAAACCCAUUUCCAUGUGUAUUAAUGAUUUUCAACCAAAUUAUUUGAAGAUGGGGAAUCACAGAGCGAGCUUAAUUAGGAACCAAAGAAGAUCUGCAAAAGCAAGUUAAGAGAUCAUCGUACUACAGAAGCAAAUUACAUAAUAAAAUUAAGAGAGCAUUAUAUUACCAAAGCAUAAUAAUAUGUUCAUUUCCAAAUGUAUUACGAAAACCUAUUGUUUCAUUUUUUUUCAACCCACAAAAUUUACAGUUUAGUUCAAAAAAUUUGAUCUGAUUAUUAAUAUUCACACGGAAAAGAUACGACUCAAAUGAACUGGGCAUUUGAAGUCACUUUCUUAUUUCUUAUAACCACAUCAGUAUCAUAUAUAUAUAUAUAUAUAUAUACAAACGUAGCAAAACAGCCCAGAGUUUUGGAACUGUAUAAAACGUAGCAAAAAGAAAAUGGGUUUGUUUCUUCACUUUGUUCCUCCUCCUUUCUUCUGAUACGUAGGUGCUUUGACACUUUGUACAGCUCCAAAGCUGCCUCCUUGAGAAAACCAGUUUUUGGAAGCUCAACAAACCCUGCUUCUCCCAGAUGGUUCUGAACAAAGCUUCACCUGCAUCACUCGCACCAUGGUCUAUACACCUACAUGCAACUUUUGAUUUGAUUAUUAUAUAUUUUAUUAUGUCGAUACUCUACUAUAGAAACAAAAAUAAUUACACAAUACAAUUCAAAAGGAGAAAUAGUUCUUCAACCCAGUUGCAAGAGACGUCGAAAAUAAAGAAAUGGAGAUAUGUGUAUUAACUUGUUCAUAUUUGAACACAUAUACUUAUCUAUGAUAUAUUUUUUACAGUAGCACAUGGCUAAAGAUAUGUUACGCGAUAAUAUAUGUUAUGCCAAUUAUUGACUGAAGACAUGGCAGAAGAAGCAAAACGAAAAACAAUGGCAAAGAAUUUAGAGAGAGAAAGUGAAUGACUAAAGAUUGUAUUCCUUGAACAAUGAAGGAAUUCCAGAGAGAGGCGUUCGUUAUUUAUACAAGUAUUCUUUGCUUCACUCAUAAGCUACUUACCAACUUUCUUAUCCCUACAAAUCCCAACAGACUAACAGCCUUCCUACAAUCUCAACAAACUAACUGCCUCGCUGAUGUGUGCCUUGCUGAUGUGUAACCUUCAUGCUGAUGUGUCUGUAGAGCCAUACUGAUGUGUACAUAUCAGUCAACAGACCCAUGGCCUGAAGCAAUAACUUUAUGUUUCUUGAGUAUUCAUCUAAUAAAAGGCUAUUUGGGACAAGACUGGAUCUUUAAGAUAAUCUGAUGUGCUGCAACAACAUACAUGGAGACCUAGAAAACAAAAAGCAAAGAGCAUUGGUAAGUAAUAAUAAAACAUAAAAAGUACACAAAUUUAUCAACAAGCCAUGAAUGACCAAUCUUGUGAUAAUUCCAAAUCAUGUUUUUUUUUUUUUUUUCAAAUGGUAAUUCAUUCAACACGAUAGAACUCCCUGUAUACAAGGAGGAGAGAUAAGCAUAUGAGAACACCAAAUAAACUUCAAUAGACCAUCUUUUACAAUCACACACACUAGUAAAACUGCUUGCAAGUCACAAUCUUUCACAUAGUUUUUCCUAAACCCCAUGCAUGCUUCCCUCCUAGCAAAGCAGUUACAAACUUACAUGAUGUCUGACAUGGUUAAAGACAAGGGCAACUUUUACAAAAGAAACGCACCAAGUAAUCAACCACAGAGCAUUAUCGUGUCUAUCAAGUCUCACAUGUUUUGUACAUCCUAAAUAAUGAAAAAGCAUUAUCAUUCAAUUCCAUCUUUAGCAGCUUUGGCCUUAUGAAGAAUCGCAGCUGCUAAAGAUGCUAAGCAUGGAAAAUCAAAAGCGUCCAACAAUGAAUAUAAAGUGGGAUAAAGUAUGCAACAAGAAAAUAAAUCACUAGGCUGGGGGAGGAAAAGAAGUUGGACAAAGGACAUGAUUUUACAACAAAAAAGAUAUCCGAUAAUUUGGCAACUGAUUGCCAACAAACAGGUUCUUACAACGAAAAAUAAUGACACCACUGAUGCACAAGGACAACUUGCUUAGCAUACUAUGACCAUACCUUCCAAUAUACAACAGCAACUAACAAGAAAAAGAAGCACGAUGCAAAACAAGAAUCAAAUAGAAAACUAAGAAAAACGUUAGCCAAAACCUAUAUAUUUCAUCUCUCCCUUCCCCCUAAAAGAAAAUACUAACAAGGAAUAAGAAAAUCCCUGGCAGGCAACGUUACAUUGUCCCUUCAACCCCUUUUCCUACCAAAAUAUUUCCACCCAUAGAGACACCUCUUCGACUAUCUAUGUUAAUUGUUACAGUCUCAGGGAAAUGCUCUAAAACCCACAGUGAUGCAGCUCUCCAAUAUGGAUGAGUGACCGAGGGACAUUUCAAACCCAUUUUCCAAUCUAGCCUACGCAUUUUCUUACGAUUUCACCAUGCAAGAAAGGCUUCUCAGUGUGUGUUUAACUCCCAGUACAAAGGGUUAUUUAUGCCGAACCCAAUUUUUGUGAAAAAAAUUAUGGAAUUUGCCAAAACCCCUAAAAAUAUUUAGCUCAAACACUUCACAAACGAUGAUUCUGCACUAAUUUUACGACCCCAAAGCAUCUCUUCUUUCAUAAAACACAAUUUGGGUCAAAACCCAAAUGUAUCAAAACUCAAUUAUACACACUGACCAAUAAUCAGUAAAAUAACCAUUAAAAUGCAUCAAACUGAUUAACAUUUCAGCUGACCAAAUGCAGAAAGAACCAGCUUUUUCCAUCAUACAAAGCCAAGCUCACAACCGAACCCACUAAAUCGCACAGCUCGGAACCAGAUCCAAUUCUUUACAAACCAGAAUCGUAAUAAACCUUAAAAAUCAGACUUUGUUCUUUUUCCCAAGCACAAGUUAAACCAGAGAAACCAAGAAAACUAACUUAUUUUCUCAUAAUCAUCAUAUUUUCCCAAAAAAAUUGAAAUUUUCCAUGGAAAAAUCAAGAAAACGAACCUGGAGAUGCAGCGGCUACGGGAGAAGACCGAGAUUGAACCUGGAAUGAACAUGUUUUUUAAUUUUCUGAUUUUAUUGCUGCGGCAAACUAAUUAGAAGGGAAAUCCCAAAAUCAAGUCUUAUAUUUUGGAGGCAUGUUUUCACUAAAUCAGUGUUCGUGUGUCCCCAACAAAUUGAGUGAGUUUAUGGCUGUUGCAUAUAAGGCUAGAUUGGAACUCUAAUACAUUAGGAUAGUGGGUUCCAAAAAUUUAAGAGUAUGAACAGAAAGAAAAACGCAUCAGACCUCCUAGAAGCAAUUUUUUUUUUUUCAGUUGCAGAUCGAAGCAAUACAAAGAAAGAGAAACCGAGAGGCAGAUCGUACCUAGACUGGAGAUGCAGAGCUGAAGUUCACAGAGAAGGUUGCAAAGGGGAGAUGCAGAGGAUGAGGAGGAAGGUUGCGAAGGGGGGAGAUGCAGAGGAGAGGAAUGAGGAAGACAACGGCAAGGCAGAGAGAAGAGAUAUUGUUUUAGGGUUUGUAAUGAUUUAGAUGGUGUAAUUUUUGAAAAAGAUAUGGGGUAUAUUUGUCUUAAAAUGGUAAAAUAUUGUGUUCCACAGGCGUGGAACAACCUGUUCCAGGGGGUAGACGCGGGACACAAAAACACCCAAAUUCUGUCCCGUGGAACAGCACGUUCCACCCUAUUUUGGCGUACCAAAGGCGGGACGGAACGUCUUGUCCCGUUCCGUCCCGUCCCAUCCCGCUUACCAAACGCACCCUAAGUGACCCUGGUGUGAAUAUUUCCCAGAGCCGAACAAUACCCUUUUUGUGCACAGUUUUGUGCAAACUGUAACAGGACAGAAUGGUUAUGAUCAUUACUGGUAAAGAAUAAGCAAUAUGCAACACUCGAGAACAGUAUUUUAAUGUAAUCUGCCUAAGGCUCUGGGUUUAAAUUUCAUCAUCCAUGUCAACUGCAAUAUCGACCGUGAUAUGCAAUACUUCAGAUUAAAAUACUUGUAACGCAACUCCAUACUUGCCAACAUGGAAGCAAAAGGAGGAAAGGAAUGCAUAUUCUACUUUACCUUCUGAGUAAGCACUUGAAAGCUCUUUUUGAACUCUUUUGUGCUCAUCCUAAUUUUGUGAUCGCUCAAUUUCAAGUGUAGCCUCUCUUUUCUAGUGAGAGAUUCCACUACAACCUGAUAGGCAUAUUCAAGCAUUUAAUAAUCUACAGAAAUUAACUCAGCAAUAUUAAAUAUCAAACCCACUUACUUACCAUCUAUCUUAUCCAACUCUUAUUUCGGUUUCUCUGUCAAAGCUUCGCAAUAAUCUAAUUCAAUUACUCUUCCUUGCUUUUUAAUAAGAUCCCUACAAUCAAACAAACAUAAUUAUUCUAGUAAACACAUUCGAAUUCAAACACAUAAAAGAUGUUAUUCAUACCCAUAUCGUCAUAUUGCUGCUCUGAUCUUGAAAAAUUAAAAUUAAUAAUAAUCGUUCAAAUCAUAUUACAAUAUAUCACAAACUAUGACAUCUGAUAAUCAAUACAUUUAAGAAAAUUUAAAAUGAAUUCAAUUCACUCCAAACGGUGAUAUUAUAUGUUCACAUAUAUAUUCACAACAACAACAAAAUCACUUUCUAGCCACUGGGAUAAAAAUAAGAACAGAAAACAUUAAUUCGAGUGCACAUAUGAACAUCACAUAAAAAUCAUAACAAAAUCCAAAACAGAAGGAGAGAUAACAAAAAUGAUAAUUUUUUGGGACUUACAAUUACAAUUAACCGAGUGUUGACUAGCCAGCCUGUCCAGGUUCGGUUAUACUUAACUCCAUGUCAUGAGUAGCUGUCCAACCAGGUUCAUAGGUUCAUAGCCUUGUUGGGGAGAUCAUGGGAAUGAACAAAUGGCACCCCGUUUGGCCACCCAAUCUCCAUUCUUAUAUUGGCACGGGGGCUAUCAAGUGUCUGAAUGUGAUUUUCACACUCCUUCACGUUGCAGAACCUCAGCUUGAUUCCCUUCUUGUCUGCAAUGUCUUGAACCCUUUCCUUCAGGACUCUCUGGGCCUCGACCCAUAAUCUCUUGGAAGGUGGCAGAGGUUUGUUUCUUUCACUCUUUCUCCUCCUCAACAAAGGCU
rnacentral:lncRNA from 1 species